AGCAGCCGCGGUAAUUCCAGCUCCAAUAGCGUAUAUUAAAGUUGUUGCAGUUAAAAAGCUCGUAGUUGAAUUUCGGGGUUAGCAGGUUGGUCGUGCCACUGGUAUGUACUGGCCUUGCUGAUUCCUCCCUCUUGAUGAGCCGUAAUGCCAUUAAUUUGGUGUUGCGAGGAAUCAGGACUGUUACUUUGAAAAAUUAGAGUGUUUAAAGCAGGCAAGCGCUUGAAUACAUUAGCAUGGAAUAAUGAAAUAGGACGUUUGAUCUUAUUUUGUUGGUUUCUAAGAUUGACGUAAUGAUUAAUAGGGAUAGUUGGGGGCAUUAGUAUUCAAUUGUCAGAGGUGAAAUUCUUGGAUUUAUUGAAGACUAACUACUGCGAAAGCAUUUGCCAAGGAUGUUUUCAUUA
rnacentral:rRNA from 1 species